rnacentral:rRNA from 1 species
UACAGAGGGUGCGAGCGUUGUCCGGAAUCACUGGGCGUAAAGGGCGCGUAGGUGGUGGCUUAAGCGUGCGGUGAAAGCUCGGGGCUCAACCCCGAGUCGGCCGUGCGAACUGGGCUCACUGGAGCAUAGUAGAGGCAGGUGGAAUUCCGGGUGUAGCGGUGGAAUGCGUAGAGAUCCGGAAGAACACCGGUGGCGAAGGCGGCCUGCUGGGCUAUGGCUGACACUGAGGCGCGCAGCGUGGGGAGCAACAGG